ensembl:misc_RNA Y_RNA Y RNA
GGCUGGUCUGAGUGCAGUGGUGUUUACGACUAAUUGAUCCCAACCAGUUAUAGAUGUUUUUGUUUCUUCUUCACUCCCACUGUUUCACGUGACUAGCCUUUA